rnacentral:lncRNA from 1 species
AAAACUUUCAUUAGUCCCUAGCCUUAUCUUAUAGUUAGGAUAGCCUUAUGCCUAUCCCAUGCAUGCUUAAACUCCUUUACUGUGUUAACCUCUACCACUUCAGCUGGAAGGCUAUUCCAUGCAUCCACUACCCUCUCAGUAAAGUAAUACUUCCUGAUAUUAUUUUUAAACCUUUGUCCCUCUAAUUUAAGACUAUGUCUAUGUAAGUGGUCCUGGUUCGUGAGUCUUUCGGUAGAUUUUAGUUCGGGGAAAUGUACACGAACGUGGAUGCCCUUUAGACCGUCAAUUAGGUUGUGGUUAACAGCAGACCGCAGCUCCUUUGGUGGUUAAUUAGAGGCAUGCUCCGCUCGUAAGGUGGACGGUUGUAUGGUACUUUCAAAGGUGAUCGGGGUUAAGUGGCGGCACACGCCAAGGACAGGGUGGUCCGUCGUUCAUAUACAUGAAUGUGUAGCUAUAACUGUUCGUAUAAUGUGUUCGUACUGUCUGGAUACCGAACAGAGUAUUAGAUGAACAAAAGGGGGUUACUUCUAUAACAGUUUGGAGGGUUCUUGUAACAAUGCUCCCUCCUUGUGGAACACUCUGGCAGACACUGUCUGACCCCUUUUCGGGGCAGACUAAGGCUGUCCAGACUGAGGCGUUAUGCUGGACUGAGCUCGUUUUGUCGAGAUAACCCGUCGGCAUUGCCAUUCUGUUUCCCGGGUCGGUAGGUGAAAUUAAACGGCUGUAAGGAUAAGCUCCAACGUAAAGGUCUGCCAUUGUCCCCAGCAACCCGAUUGAGCCAUACCAACGGGUUAUGGUCUGUAACCAGAGUGAACUCUUGUCCAUACAAGUAGGGAGUCAAUUUCUUUAGUUCCCACACCAGGGCCAAGCACUCCUUUUCCACGGCGGCAUAGCUGACCUCGCGUGGCAGGAGUUUUCGGCUGAUGUAGGCAAUCGGGUAUUCCUUUCCAUCGUCUCCUACUUGGCUGAGGACGGCCCCCAGCCCGAACAUGGAAGCGUCUGUAUGGACGAUAAAACGUUUAUUAGGGGCUGGGGCAGCCAAGACAGGAGCAUUAAUUAGGGCACUUUUGAGGGUGUGGAAGGCUGUUUCACAGUGGGGAGACCACAGGACCUGUCGGGGUAGAUUUUUCUUCGUCAAUUCGGUCAGGGGUUUAGCAAUAGAACUAUAGUCCAGUACGAAUCGUCUGUAGUACCUGACAGUGCCCAAGAAAGCUAGUACCUGGGUCUUAGUGUGAGGUGUGGGCCAAUUUGCGACCGCCUCUAUCUUAGCUGGCUCCGGUCGCUGCUUCCCGCAUCCCACUCGGUGACCCAAGUACCGUACCUCAGCCAUCCCAAAAUUGCAUUUUUCUGGUUUCAGUGUCAGGCCCGCGGCCCGAAUCUGAUCCAGAACCAUUCCUACAUGAGCUAGGUGUUCCUCCCAGGACUCAUUGUGGAUUGCUAUGUCAUCCAGGUAGGCACAGGCAAAAUCCUGGAAGCCAUCAAGGAGUCUAUCCACCAAGCGCUGGAAUGUGGCUGGGGCAUUCUUCAUCCUGAAUGGCAUGACCUUAAAGUGGUACAAGCCGAACGGGGUGACGAAUGCCGACUUGGGGAUAGCUUCCCUGGCCAGGGGGAUUUGUCAGUAACCUCUACAGAGGUCAAUGUUCGUUACGUAGUUUCCCCUGGCUAUGCGGUCCAGUAGCUCAUCUCCCCUGGCUAUGCGGUCCAGUAGCUCAUCUACGGUUUUAUCAUUGAGUUUCCAAUAGUUCACACAGAAUCUGAUAGUGCCAUCCAUUUUGGGUACUAGCACCACUGGAGAUGCCCAGGGACUAUCGGAGGAUUCAAUGACCCCUAGCAACUCGUUUAUCUAUUUUUUCAUCCUUGCCCUGACCGCUUCUGGGAUACGGUAGGGGGCCUGUCUUAAGGAUUGCUGUCCUGAGGUGUCUACUUGGUGGGUGGCAACUCCGUGUACCCGGGUUCCUUAGUGAAUAUCGAGUGUUUCUCUUGGCGCAGUUUGUGUAGCUGCUCCCUCUCUACUGGGUUAAGUCUGUCCCCUAUCUGCAGUUGGUUCACUAACUCCGGGAGGUCCUGGUCUAACAAGUCGGGUAUGAGCAGGCUAUCGGGGUCUUCGUAAGCGGGGCUGCAUAUGGCUGCCACAUCCUCCUGUCUCUCUAGAUAUUCUUUAAUCCCUUAAGGACCAAACUUCUGGAAUAAAAGGGAAUCAUGACAUGUCACACGUCAUGUGUCCUUAAGGGGUUAAGCAUAUUUACGUGGAAUAUCUUCUGCAGACUUUCAUCGUGGCAGCUAGCAAUCACGUAUGUAGUGUCCCCGCGUUUCUCUACUACUUGGUAAGGUCCCUGCCAAGAUGCUUGCAGCUUGUCUGCUUUAACGGGUUUGAGAACCAUAACCUUUUGUUCUAUACAAAAGCUCCUCCUCCGUGCCCCCCUGUCAUACCAGACUUUCUGUCGCCUCUGGGCCGCCUGGAGGUUCACCUGGAUAGACCUGGUUAAUUGCUCCAUACGGUACGAUGGGGACCCCGGCAUUCUCGGUCUCUCCCUCCCAGUGCUCACAGAUAAGGUUCAGGGGUCCCCGUACCUUGCGUCCGUAUAGCAGCUCAAAGGGAGAGAAUCCGGUCGUUUCCUGGGGCACCUCCCGGUAAGCGAAUAGGAGAUGUGGCAGGAAGCGUUCCCAGUCUCUAUAUUCCUGGGUGAAAGUUUUCAGCAUUUGUUUGAGGGUUCCAUUGAACCUCUCACAUAACCCAUUAGUCUGCGGAUGAUACGGAGAGCUGACUAGGGAUUUUAUUUUGCAGACAUGCCAUAGCUGUUGCGUUAGUUCAGCAGUGAACUGGGUGCCUCUGUCGGACAGGAUUUCCCUGGGGAAUCCCACCCAGAGAACACCUGGACUAAUGCAUUAACUACGGUGUCUGCUUGGAUGUUGGAUAGGGCUACUGCCUCUGGGUAGCGAGUAGCAUAGUCCACCACUGUAAGAAUAUUUCUCUUUCCGGAUGGACUGGGGGUGGCGAGUGGUUCCACUAGGUCGAUGGCUACCCGGCUAAAGGGUUCUUAUAUAAUGGGCAUGUUGACGAGGUGUGCCUUGGGGUGGUCUCCUCUCUUUCCCACUCUCUGGCAGACCUCGCAAGUAUUACAGUAAGUCCUCACAUCUGCAUGUACCCCUGGCCAGAAAAAGGCGUCGGUAAUAGUGUGGAGGGGUACGGGUGCCCGGCUAAGGGAAUGUCGUGACCCACCUGGAGAAUGUCUCGCCUAUACUUGUGGGGAAUGACCAACUGUCUCCUACGGUGCCCUUUUUUCUUGGUAUGAAAUUAUACAACCUGCUCUGCUCCCAUGCAAAUGUCUCGUGGUCUGACCACCCAGUCCCUGUGUCUGCUCUUUCCCUACUUCUGGAGGGUCGGGUCAGUUUUAGUCUCAGCCUCAAAGGCUGCAGGCGUAUCCCAGGGUAAUGGUGAAGGGCAAUUAGUCAGUCGGGGUUAGUCUUACCUGAGUCUCCCGCACUGGCGAAGGGUCUUGGGUCCUUCCUGCUUGUGACCAGGAUGUGCCUCCCGGUGGUAGGAAGGGGCAUAUGCUGAAGUCAUGGGGCCCAGGUCGUUGCCCAGUAAAACCUCAGCUGGCAAGUUAUCCAUGAUUCCCACCCUCACAAGUCCUUUACCCGCACCCCAGUCCAAAUGUACUUUGGCCAUUGGUAGCUUGUAUAUAUCCCCUCCAGCCACGGUGCUUUUGGAGCGCUUAUGUUCUGGAACCAGGCAGCUUUGCACCAGGGUGAUAGUAUCCCCGGUGUCUCUUAACCCCUGAGUAGGGCGGCCGUCCAGCAAUACCUCUUGUCUGUGGUGUUGUCGGUUGCUGCAUACACGGGGUCGGCUUCGUGGAGAGGUCCCAGAUACUCUUUAUCAACACAAAAAGCAUGGUCUGGCCGGGUAUUUCCCGAAGAGGAUGAAUUAUAGUUCCGGAAGGGAUAAUUGUUAUUCAGGGGGCAAUUGGCUAUGAGAUGCCCCGGCUGUUUGCAUUUGAAG